rnacentral:rRNA from 1 species
ACGCCUGCCCAGUGAACAAUUAAACGGCCGCGGUACCCUAACCGUGCAAAGGUAGCAUAAUCAUUUGUCUACUAAUUAUAGACCUGUAUGAAAGGCAAAAUGAGGGUCUAACUGUCUCUUAUAGUACAUCAAUUAAACUGAUCUCCUAGUAAAAAAGCUAAGAUUAAAACAUAAGACCAGAAGACCCUGUGAAGCUUAAACUAAACUAUUAAAACUAAUAAUAGCUACUUUCGGUUGGGGCGACCUUGGAAAAAAAAAGAACUUCCAAUAACAUAUUAACCAUAAAUAUAGGCCUACAUGCCACAUUACGACCCAGCAAAGCUGAUAAUCGAAACAAGUUACUCCAGGGAUAACAGCGCAAUCUUCUUCAAGAGCCCAUAUCAAAAAGAAGGUUUACGACCUCGAUGUUGGAUCAGGACAUCCUAAUGGUGCAGAAGCUAUUAAGGGUUCGUUUGUUCAACGAUUAAUAGUCCUACGUGAUCUGAGUUCAGACCGGA